UGAGUACGAGAUGCUACGGCAUCGAAGCAGUCUAUGUCAUACUUCCAAGAAAAGCUUGCACUGUCAUAAACAAAGAAUGCCUGUACCAUAACCGACACAGGUGGGUAGGUAGAGUAUACUAAGGGGCGCGAGAUAACUCUCUCUAAGGAACUCGGCAAAAUGACUCCGUAACUUCGGGAGAAGGAGUGCCUUAUUUCUAAGGUUGCAAUAACAAGAUCCAAGCAACUGUUUACCAAAAACACAGGUCUCCGCUAAGUCGUAAGACGAUGUAUGGGGGCUGACGCCUGCCCAGUGCCAGAAGGUUAAAGAAGUUGGUUAGCAUUAGCGAAGCUGAUAACUGAAGCCCUGGUGAACGGCGGCCGUAACUAUAACGGUCCUAAGGUAGCGAAAUUCCUUGUCGGGUAAGUUCCGACCCGCACGAAAGGCGUAAUGAUUUGGAUACUGUCUCGGAGAGGGGCUCGGUGAAAUAGACUUGUCUGUGAAGAUGCGGACUACCUGCACCUGGACAGAAAGACCCUAUGAAGCUUUACUGUAACUUGAGAUUGAAAUUGGACUUUAUUUGCGCAGUAUAGGUGGGAGGCGUUGAGAAUAAUCUUGCGGGAUUGUUGGAGCCAUCAGUGAGAUACACUCUUGUAAUGUUAGAUUUCUAACUUUGUAUCAUUAUCUGGUCAAAGAACAGUUUCAGGCGGGCAGUUUGACUGGGGCGGUCGCCUCCCAAAGGGUAACGGAGGCGCACAAAGGUUUCCUCUGAACGGGUAGAAAUCGUAUCUAGAGUGUAAAGGCAUAAGGAAGCUUGACUGUGAGACCUACAAGUCGAGCAGGGACGAAAGUCGGUCUUAGUGAUCUGACGGUGCUGAGUGGAAAGGCCGUCACUCAACGGAUAAAAGUUACUCUAGGAUAACAGGCUGAUCUCCCCCAAGAGUUCACAUCGACGGGGAGGUUUGGCACCUCGAUGUCGGCUCAUCGCAUCCUGGGGCGGUAGUCCGUCCCAAGGGUUGGGCUGUUCGCCCAUGAAAGCGGUACGCGAGCUGGGUUCAGAACGUCGUGAGACAGUUCGGUCCAUAUCCGGUGUAGGCGUUAGAAUAUUGGGAGGAGCCUUCUCUAGUACGAGAGGACCGAGAAGGACAUACCUCUGGUGUACCAGUUAUCGUGCCAACGGUAAACGCUGGGUAGCUAUGUAUGGAGUGGAUAACCGCUGAAAGCAUCUAAGUGGGAAGCCCACCUCAAGAUAAG
rnacentral:rRNA from 1 species